rnacentral:rRNA from 1 species
UAGGGAAUCUUCGGCAAUGGACGAAAGUCUGACCGAGCAACGCCGCGUGUGUGAUGAAGGCUUUCGGGUCGUAAAGCACUGUUGUAUGGGAAGAAAUGCUAGAAUAGGGAAUGAUUCUAGUUCGACGGUACCAUACCAGAAAGGAACGGCUAAAUACGUGCCAG